rnacentral:rRNA from 1 species
GGAAUUUUGGACAAUGGGGGAAACCCUGAUCCAGCCAUGCCGCGUGUAUGAAGAAGGCCUUAGGGUUGUAAAGUACUUUUGUUAGGGAAGAAAAGCUAGUUUUUAAUAAAAAUUAGUGAUGACGGUACCUAAAGAAUAAGCACCGGCUAACUACGUGCCAGCAGCCGCGGUAAUACGUAGGGUGCAAGCGUUAAUCGGAAUUACUGGGCGUAAAGCGUGCGCAGGCGGUUGUGUAAGACAGGUGUGAAAUCCCCGGGCUUAACCUGGGAAUUGCAUUUGUGACUGCACGACUAGAGUGUGUCAGAGGGGGGUGGAAUUCCACGUGUAG